GAGGCUACUUAACAGGAGCUGUUAAUGGAGCCAGGCACUGCCACAGCUGUAGGUAUCUGGGCUGCUGCUGUCCCACCCCUUCUGGGAACACACAAGACUAGUGACAAAAAUCAGUCACAGUUUGCAGAAGCUGCCUCAGUCCAUUUCCUGGAAGAAAUGCUCUAAUGCCUUGUGAUUAGUCACUGUGCCAAGACAAGGGAAUUAUCUGAAGGCUUAGCUUCAAGUCUGGUAAGAACAAAUAAAGACCCACAGGCUCCCCAAAAGAACAACCUAUACGCAUAAUGCAGGACAUAAAUAAGAAGGCAAUUGGAGGAUCUUAUAUGAGUACAAAAUACAACCUGGUGAAUAAGCUUUACUACACAAACUAUGUACUAAAUUUUUGUUAGAGAUGGUUAUUUAAUAUUUCUUAUAGAAAUAGGCCAGUGGGGGGGGGGGGGGACGACUUUUGUUAGGGGUAACUCAAGUAGCUUCACAAUUGCAGCUGGUCAAGACAUAACCUAAACUGAGUAAUCACUAUUCAUCUUGGACUCUGCUGAACUACCUGCAGUGUAAACAUGAA